rnacentral:tRNA from 1 species
AAGGAUUUAAGUUACAAAAACUAUUAGCCUUCAAAGCUAAAAAUAAAGAAGGACGCUUUAAGCCUUA